AGGAUAAACGCUGGCGGCGUGCAUGAGACAUGCAAGUCGAACGGACACUCGGGGCUUGCUCCGAGUGUUAGUGGCGGACGGCUGAGUAACGCGUAGGUGACCUGCCCCGAAGUGGGGAAUAACUGCCCGAAAGGGUGGCUAAUACCGCAUGUGGUGGUGUGUUCAUUCACACCAGUAAAGCCGCAAGGCGCUUCGGGAGGGGCCUGCGUCCGAUUAGCUCGUUGGUGGGGUAACGGCUCACCAAGGCGACGAUCGGUAGGUGGUCUGAGAGGACGAUCACCCAGACUGGGACUGAGACACGGCCCAGACUCCUACGGGAGGCAGCAGUCGGGAAUUUUGCGCAAUGGACGAAAGUCUGACGCAGCAACGCCGCGUGAGGGAUGAAGGCCUUCGGGUUGUAAACCUCUUUUAUCUAGGGAAGAUAAUGACGGUACCUGAUGAAUAAGACACGGCUAACUACGUGCCAGCAGCCGC
rnacentral:rRNA from 1 species